GACGAACGCUGGCGGCGUGCUUAACACAUGCAAGUCGAACGGAAAGGCCCUGCUGGGGGGGCGUGCUCGAGGGGCGAACGGGUGAGUAACGCGUGAGUAACCUGCCCUUGACUGUGGGAGAACGUCAGGAAACUGGGGCUAAUACCGUAUAGUAGCGCCGCCUGGAGGGGGGGGGUUGGAAAGGGUGGGGGGUUGGGGACGCACGGCCGGCUUAUCUGCUGGUUGGUGGGGGAGUGGCUUACCAAGGCUUGGACGGGUAGCCGGCCUGGGAGGGGGCCCGGCACCAUUGGGACUGGGAUACGGCCCAGCCUCCUCCGGGCGGCAGCAGUGGGGAAUAUUGCACAAUGGGCGGAAGCCUGAUGAAGCACCGCCGCGUGCGGGAUGCCGGCCUUCGGGUUGUAAACCGCUUUCGCCUGUGCCGAAGCGUGAGUGACGGUACUGGGUGAAGAAGCACCGGCUAACUACGUG
rnacentral:rRNA from 1 species